GAGAGAGAGAGAGAGAGAGAGAGAGAGAAAGAGAGCGCGCGAGCAAGUUGGCCUGUUAUCAGGAGAGAAAACACACAUAGCAAAACUUCUAACAGACACAUCAUUUACUCUAGUACAGUCAUGCAACAAGCAUUUACUUGAGUAUUUUCUAUAUACUUGGCAUUGUUACCAGUUUUACAUGUACUGUCAAAUUUACUCCUUAAAUCCCAAUGAGAUUGAUGCUAUUAUUUAUUUUAUACAGAGGAAACUGAGGCAUGGAAGACAGUAAGUUCACAGAGGAAAUGGCAAAAUACAGCAGAGCACGGAAUCUACAGACAGAUGCACCCUGGUGUGAUUUCCAGCCCUGACACUUUAGCAGUGCCCAGUUUCCUUACUGG